CUCUACUAAAGAUACAAAAAGUUAGCUGAGUGUGGUAGUGUGCGCCUGUAAUCCCAGCUAGUUGGGAGGCUGAGACUAGAAAAUUGCUUGAACCCGGGAGGUGUAGUGCAAAUAACACUGCACUCUAGCCUGGGUGACAGAGCAAGACUCCAUCUCAAAAAAAGGAAAAAAGAAACCAUUGGGAUCUCUAAGAGUGUUUUCUCUCUUGGGUCCAGUUGUUUCAGAGGAGAAAGGGCAUCAUGAGUGACCAGGGUCCAAGUUAUCAUUCUAUUUUUCAGUAGGACUGGAAUUUUGGCAACACAGAACCCUGUGAUGUCUGGAGGAAACCAGUUCCUCAAAGCUCACUGCCUUUCCUCUAUUCCCAGCUCCGCUCUGCAUUGGACAAAACAGAAGAGCUCGAGAAAUUUUAUGAGGUAGAUGCUGUUAUGAAAUCCACAUUACAGAUGAGGGAACCAGGGCCCAGGAAGGUUCACUGGCCAGAAGUCUCAGCUGGUAAGUACGGGGCUGCAAGGCAUCAAUUCCCAGCCGUCUCACUGCCCUGAGAGGAUGGCGUUUUUGCUGGGCGUGGUGGCUCACGCCUGUAAUCCCAGCAAUUUGGGAGGCUGAGGCAGGCAGUUGGGACUUGAGGUUUUUUUUCAUGUGUCUUGCUGAAGAUUAAGGGGAAAUGUUACAGUGUUGGGACUUCCUGUCAUGGCAGAAUCUACAAUUUGAGCGACUUCAGUAGUAUCUCUUAGUCUAU
rnacentral:lncRNA from 1 species